ACACGGAACAUAAAUUGUGUUUUUAACGGUCGAGUUCAAAUCAAUGUUGACACACGUAUUAUAUUUGACAAUGUUGACACACGUAUUAUUGUUUGUGUGUUUGUGUGUCGAAUGUAGUGUACAAGAUUUGAGCGCGUCAAGCAUCUCACCAUAAGCAUUUCGCGCGCCUUGUACGCAUGCCGACAGCAGUCGUCGUUGCAAAAAGGAUUGCUAUGAUAUAAUCGACGAUACAAGUGUUUCGAGCGUAAAGUGGUAUUUUAGUGGUAUAAGUUGAACAUCAUUUGAAAACAAAAUCAGCAUACUUUCACCUUAAAGCUAGAAUGGCAUCGUGCAACAUUUGUGAUGAUGAAAUUACAAAGAAAAAUCCACUUUUUAUUUGUUUACGCUGUGACCUCAAAGUGCAUAAGUUGUGUUAUGGAGCUGAAGGUCUGGCAAUUAAUUGGAAAUGUUCACCAUGUCGCUUAGCAAUGAAUAAGUCCGCCAAAUGUAAAUUAUGUCACAAGAAAGGUGGUGCGAUGAAACAAACCGAAUGUAAAAGUUGGGUACAUGUUAUAUGCGGUCUUUUUAUGAAAGGUGUCAGUUUUUCUAACGAAAAAACCAUGGAACCCGUUAAUUUAUCGAAAAUACCUUCUUACUUGUGGAAAAUUGUGUUCAUUUUGCAACAACAAAACUGGUUUUUGCACUUCCUGUUCUUUUGCAAAAUGCAAGAAUAAGUUUCAUGUAACUUGUGCUCAAGAUGAAAAGACGCUUAAAGAAGAUGUUAAUCCAAACGAUAAUUCGAUCAAAUUCGAAGCAUUUUGUAUGGAACACAAACCGACUACUCCGACUCACAGAUUAUCAUCUGGGUCAAUUCAAGUUGCACUUAAUAAGAAUCGCCAAACAACAACAAAUACCAAAUAUUCAUGUGGCGAUGGUGAUUGGAUUCUUAUUGGAGCUAAUGCACACUCAACACCGGCCAAUCCAAACAAAAGGAAAAGGAGACCAAUGUUCAUACGUGCUUCAAGGAUGCAAUUAUCGAAAAAUUGACAACAGAAAAUGAUCAGUUGCGAAAGCUGAAUGUUUAUUUACAACAAAAAAUGAUGGAAAAAGACCAAGAGAAGAAAACAAUAAGUCACUGUUCCGAAAACAUUAACAAGGCAGAGGUUAAACCAACCAAACGGCUACAACCAAAAAAAUGGAGCCAAUUUUGGAUGGAAACAACUUGAAGUAUCCAAAUGGUGUGAAAAUAUUGAAACGAAAUAUUGAUUUAUUGCAUACUAUGUCAAGUGAACAAGCGAGUAAUCGUGAAUUUAUAAACAGGCUCUUCACCAUUUUCUUUCCGGAAUCUUACAUCCUGAAGCAAUUGAAGAAAGAAAAGGUUGGGCGCGCAUCGCUUCUGAAAGUGCUUCGUGAAAAAAAAGGCUAUGAAACUGCGAAUGGUAAGCAUGAGGGGAAUAUAGAAGUCACACAAGUAUGUAAGUUUUAUAAACUCAUUCAUGUAACUUUGCCUUCCGCUUUAUUCGAAAAUCGAGUCAUUGCAAGUGCCAAGGGUGAUACCGAAGGACGAAUUGGCAUAUUCAAGAACACAUUCCGCCAGAAAUUGAACAAUUGGUGUACUAGUCAUGCCGAGAAGAUCGCAUCCGUUAAAGUGGACCAACAGAAAAUUGACGACCAGAAAGGCGAUGAAGAAUAAAUUUUAGAAAACUUAUUAUUUCUGAUUUGAAUUAUUGAAUUAAUAAAAAUGCUCCAAGUUAAUGUUUUUC